AAAGAAUUAGUUAAAUUAACAUUAGUAUGUCAAACUAAAAUUAUUGGUAUAACCCUAAUAUUCUUUA
rnacentral:tRNA from 2 species